UACGUAGGGUGCGAGCGUUAAUCGGAAUUACUGGGCGUAAUGCGUGCGCAGGCGGUUUUGUAAGCCAGAUGUGAAAGCCCCGGGCUCAACCUGGGAAUGGCAUUUGGGACUGCAAGGCUUGAGUGCGGCAGAGGAGACUGGAAUUCCUGGUGUAGCAGUGAAAUGCGUAGAUAUCAGGAGGAAUACCGAUGGCGAAGGCAGGUCUCUGGGCUGACACUGACGCUGAGGCGCGAAAGCCAGGGGAGCGAACGGG
rnacentral:rRNA from 1 species